AUUGAACGCUGGCGGCAGGCCUAACACAUGCAAGUCGAGCGGAUGAAGGGAGCUUGCUCCUGGAUUCAGCGGCGGACGGGUGAGUAAUGCCUAGGAAUCUGCCUGGUAGUGGGGGAUAACGUCCGGAAACGGGCGCUAAUACCGCAUACGUCCUGAGGGAGAAAGUGGGGGAUCUUCGGACCUCACGCUCUCAGAUGAGCCUAGGUCGGAUUAGCUAGUUGGUGGGGUAAAGGCCUACCAAGGCGACGAUCCGUGACUGGUCUGAGAGGAUGAUCAGUCACACUGGAACUGAGACACGGUCCAGGCUCCUACGGGAGGCAGCAGUGGGGAAUAUUGGACAAUGGGCGAAAACCUGAUCCAGCCGUGCCGCGUGUGUGAAGAAGGUCUUCGGAUUGUAAAGCACUUUAUGUUGGGAGGAAGGGCAUUAAGUUAAUACCUUGCUGUUGUGACGUUACCAACAGAAUAAGCACCGGCUAACUUCGUG
rnacentral:rRNA from 1 species